AUACUCAGAAGCUGGCCCUACUGCAUCAGCCUAAUCAAGUUUUACCCCUGCCUGAGCUCUGGUGGGAGGUCUACUCUGAGAACUUGGGAGGGCAAACACCUGAGCAAAACUGGGGCUCUGUCAGCUCUGAUGGCCAGGAACAGCCCAAGGCCAACCGUGAGCAAUUAACUCCAUCUGCCACAUGGACUCACCUUGCUAUAGCUAAGAGAAGGGAUCAUUGCAGGUCCAUCACCCACUAGAUGACGAAUAAUGAGGAAUAAAAAAAGAUUUCUUUUAGAAGAGAUUUGAUUUCUAUUUUAAUCCUCUAAUUCCCCGUAAAAACUGGAAAAUACCUUAUAAACUUCAGCUCGAGUGCUAAAUUAGUUAAACAAGGAGACCAUUAGACUGAGGUGGCUCUAACGUCAUGGUGGCCUAUGUAAGCAAACCAAAAUCUAAGCCUUUAAAUGCCUCAAAGUUAUGAAACCAAAACACUAAGAACCACCAAUCACAAACAGCCAACUAGGCUUGGAGCUAUCACCAAUCAAUAAUUUCCUUACCUUGCUCUCACCUUUUCUCUCUAAAACAUCUCCCUGAGCUUCUGUCCGCGGAGCAUGCCUUACCACUUCUGGUUCGGCGUUGCCCGAUUGCAAUCAAUUUUUGCUCAAAUAAACUCUUAAAAUGUUUAAUAUGCCUCAAUUAUAUCUUUUAACAGUUCUCCUGUCAGAAGAGGGAACCAAAGGAGACCCCCGACAGCCCCAGGAACAACAGCAAUGGAGCAUAGAAUCACUAAGGACGAAGACUGCUCUUGAACUUCCUUGGAAGGGACCACACAAGGUCCUCCUCACUACCCAGACGGCAGCCAACCUUCAGGGUCUUAAACCUUAGGUUCACAUCCCUCAAUUAAAAAGGGCUCCUCCAGACUCUUGGAAGCGCACACCAGCUGGAGACCUAAAAUUAAAAUUGACUAGAGAGGUUCCUCCCCAGAAGCAGACGGCGUCUUGAGGUGGACAGCUCUCCCAAGAUCAUGGAUCAAGACCUUCAUCUUCAAUAUGAAACCUUUAUUCCUUUUGCCUUUCUGCUAUUUGUUUUUUUCUCUUAACGCAUGGGAAGACAGUGCUCCUUAACUCUGGCAACUAUCACUGAAUGUACUGCUAAAGGCCAUAGUUACAUAACAAAAGUCCCUCGACUUUCUUGCUAAGGUAGUUUUAGAUAAUAGAAUUGCUUUAAUUACUUCUAGCUGAACAUGGAGUCUGUGCCAUAGCAAAUAGCUCCUGCUGUACCUGGAUCAACGCCUCUAGUAUUGUAGCAAAUACAGGAAAUUAACAAAAAAGCCACUUGGCUAAAACAGGUUGAUGCCUCUUCAGGUACAUUCUUUGAUUUAUUUGAUACCAAUUGGCUUGGUUCCUGGGGGCCCUAAGUCUGUUGGUAUUAUCCUCCUAAUAGUUGUCAUUGUAAUCUCCCUUGUGCACUAUGUUCUCUCAGAGAUCUUAAAUGCAUGUUCACAGCCAUCAGCAGUACAUCAGGUGGGCUCAUCGUGCCUGGACAAACAGAAACGAGAUGAACGGCAAAAAACAAUUCUUCCAUGGCUCUGACAUCAUAACCUAUGAGUUUCACAAUGAGACAAGAGCAACUUAACUCUGAUGGUGACUGAGAUUGGCACUAACAUCAAAUUUUUGGUCAAUCUCUCAUGUAUGAAAUGAUGACCAAAAGAGGGGAAUUGUUAAUUAAGCAAGGAGGCCAUUAGACUGAGGUGGCUCUAAUGCUGUGGUGGCCUAUGUAAACAAACCAAAAUCUAAGCCUCUAAAUGCCUCGAGGUUACAAAAUCAAAACUCUAAGGACCACCAAUCACAAACAGCCAACCAGACUUGAAGCUAUAGUCAAUCAAUAAUUUCCUUACUUCUGCCUCUUCUCUAUAAAAGUCUGCCUGAGCUCCUGACAGUGAAGCACUCCUAGCCACCUCGUUUGGCACUGCCAGAUUCCAACAGAUGUUUGCUCAAAUAAACUCAAAAAUUUUAAUACACUUUAGUUUAUUGUUUAACAAGUGACUUCCUCUCUGGAGCUUUUUACGACACUCUCCCUCCUCCUCGGGGGAUGUAAGCACUUGUGUCUGCUCUCUUCUAAACCGGCUUUAUCAGAGCACGUAUGAGGCUUGCACUUGCUUGCAUGCUCCUCUGCCCCUCCUGAAAUGUGUCCUCUUUGAGGCCGGGGACAAUAUCUGUAUUCUAUUCUGUGUGUUUAGGAUCUAGCACACAGGAGGCUCAAUAAAUAUUUGUUGAAUGAAUGAAUGGGGGAGGAGAAAUGAUCCAGAAAUGCCUAAUAUUAAUAACAAGCAUUUACCCAGGACUAAUUAUACGGCAGGCAUUACACAAAGGCAUGUAUGCUGAAUGGACUGAUUUAUUCCUAAGACAGCCCUAUGAAGUAGGAGCCACUAUUAUCUUCACUUUAAAUUUAAGAAAAGUACAUCACAGUGAGGCUAAUCACUUGUCUAAGGUCACAAACUAGGAAGUGACAAGUGUGGCACUGGAUCCCAGAGCCCAUCAUGUUCUUUGCCUUUACACAGAGAGGGAAAAGGAUGCUCCACCCGCAUUAGAGGUGGAGACCUCUCUAGAGGGCCCUAAUCCAGGGGAGAGCUGCAAGGGGUGCUGCCAUUGGUGGGAUUUGUAGCUUUUAGGAUCCUGAAGGCUUUUGCAUUCUUGGACAUUUUACGGGGACAGGGAAAAAAGCAUUUCUCAAGGACUUAAGAAGGGAUGGCAAUGGAGAGAAACAAAAGAUAGCAUCUAAGGUUUUGCUCUAAAAGGUUAGAAUCUGGAGAGAAAACCUCCAUUCACUGGCAAGAAAAGUAAAAACACUAACGCUGGGGCUGGCCCCCUGGCCGAGUGGUUAAGUUUGUGCUCUCUGCUUCACGGCCCAGGGUUGUUGGUUCGGAUCCUGGGUGCAGACCUGCACACCACUCCUGAAGCCAUGCUGUGACAGCAU
ensembl:lncRNA